UGAAAUUACAAAUUAAAUUAGACUGUUUAGUUUUGUAAGUGGAAGGUUGGUUUUGAUAAGAUUGAUGUAUUGGCCUAUAUUGUAGACCAUAUGAUUUCAGAACGAUCUUGCCACAUGAAGACUCCAAUAGAGUAGUUAUACAUGUGUCUUAGUGAAGAUUCGAUUCAUCACAGAGAACGUCUGCACCACCUGCUUCUUAAGACAAACCCACUAGUCUCCAAAGUAGUUAAUACAAUAUUGUUAAACAUGUUAAAAUUCAAAUUCCAAAUUCUUUACUUUUAAAUUAAACUUGUUGUAUAACUAGCCAA